UAACUGGAGCUGCAACCACUCCUCUUGAUGUGAUUAAAACCAGGCUAAUGGUUCAGGGAUCUGCAAACCAGUACAAAGGAAUCAUUGAUUGUGUUCAAACUAUUGUGAGGGAAGAAGGACCUCCUGCUCUUUUGAAGGGCAUUGGGCCAAGAGUUUUGUGGAUAGGCAUAGGUGGAUCGAUUUUUUUUGGUGUCCUCGAGCGUACAAAGCGGUUUCUUUCUCAGAGGCGACCAACACUUCCUGAAGACUCAAAGCAGGAUUAAAUUAGCAUUUAGAUAAACUAAGAGGCAUAUUUAUCGGCACUUGAACAGUUUUUUUCUAUUUUGUUUAAAAUGUAAAUUUUUUUUGAUAAACAAAUUAAGCUUCAAGUU